UACGUAGGGUGCGAGCGUUGUCCGGAAUUAUUGGGCGUAAAGAGCUCGUAGGCGGCUUGUCACGUCGGUUGUGAAAGCCCGGGGCUUAACCCCGGGUCUGCAGUCGAUACGGGCAGGCUAGAGUUCGGUAGGGGAGAUCGGAAUUCCUGGUGUAGCGGUGAAAUGCGCAGAUAUCAGGAGGAACACCGGUGGCGAAGGCGGAUCUCUGGGCCGAUACUGACGCUGAGGAGCGAAAGUGUGGGGAGCGAACAGG
rnacentral:rRNA from 1 species